GGGGAUGUACUGGUUUUGACAGCAAUGAUUCCGGGUGGUAAGCACGCCGGGCUUCUGAGAGAUCUGCCCGUAAAAACCGUUCUCUUAACAAUUUAGUUGCCAACAACAACUACGCGCUCGCUGCCUAAUCGACCAAGUCGUUUAGCUUAAUCCCGGCCGCCAAGGCUGCGGCCCGGACGAGUAUCCCGCGGACUUUACGCCUUCUAUGUUCCGAGUUCGGGGUAUCAUUCAAGAGGGACGCUCCGGUGGACUCCUUUAAAGCCGGCUAAGAUUUAAAGGAUAAGCUGUGGCUGGCCCGCCUUCCGGCAGGCCGCGGCCGACAACCAAAGGAAGGAUAAGCGUGUAGAAAGCUGCUGGGUGCGUUGUUUGGACGGCGGUUCGACUCCGCCCAUCUCCACUG
rnacentral:tmRNA from 1 species